rnacentral:lncRNA from 1 species
CCCACGCCCCUUGCGGCGGGGUGGGAGCCCAGCCGCACACUGCGCAUGCUCCGAGCGCGGCGCCCCCGACGCGGCGUUCGGCUCGGCUCGGGCAUUUCCGCCUCUUUGUUUUAAACUCCGGACGGGCUUUUUUCUCCUCCUCUUGGGGGGGACCCAGAGGGAGCGGCGCCCCCUCCCCCCCUCCGGCGCGGACCCCGCGUGCGCCUUGCUCGCCCGCAGCCCGGAGACCGCAGGCGUCACAAUGUAGCAGGGACCCCAGGCGUCGUGCUCAGAAAAUGGAAAAAGAGCCAGGGCCGGAAGGAGGGUGCAGAAGCGAGCCCGCGUGCGGAGCCAGGAGGCAGCGUCGCGUGGGAGUGCUGGCCUGAAGCCUCCAUGCCCCGGCAGAGGGACGGACACGCGGACGUCUAGCGGAGGUGAGGCCCGCGCCCCUGACCCCGGGGUCCUGCUGACUCCUUGUCCUGCCCUGUUGCCUGU